CCUGCCCCUGACUCUGGGAUAAGCGUUGGCCACGACGUCUAAUACUGGAUAUGACUGCCGGCCGCAUGGUCUGGUGGUGGAAAGAUUUUUUGGUUGGGGAUGGACUCGCGGCCUAUCAGCUUGUUGGUGAGGUAAUGGCUCACCAAGGCGACGACGGGUAGCCGGCCUGAGAGGGUGACCGGCCACACUGGGACUGAGACACGGCCCAGACUCCUACGGGAGGCAGCAGUGGGGAAUAUUGCACAAUGGGCGAAAGCCUGAUGCAGCAACGCCGCGUGAGGGAUGACGGCCUUCGGGUUGUAAACCUCUUUUAGUAGGGAAGAAGCGUAAGUGACGGUACCUGCAGAAAAAGCACCGGUUUUCUACGUGCCAGCAGCCGCGGUAAUAC
rnacentral:rRNA from 1 species